AUUGAACGCUGGCGGCAUGCUUUACACAUGCAAGUCGAACGGCAGCGGGGGCUUCGGCCUGCCGGCGAGUGGCGAACGGGUGAGUAAUGCAUCGGAACGUGCCCAAGUCGUGGGGGAUAACGUAUCGAAAGGUACGCUAAUACCGCAUACGCCCUGAGGGGGAAAGCGGGGGAUCUUCGGACCUCGCGCGAUUGGAGCGGCCGAUGUCGGAUUAGCUAGUAGGUGGGGUAAAGGCUCACCUAGGCGACGAUCCGUAGCGGGUCUGAGAGGAUGAUCCGCCACACUGGGACUGAGACACGGCCCAGACUCCUACGGGAGGCAGCAGUGGGGAAUUUUGGACAAUGGGCGCAAGCCUGAUCCAGCCAUGCCGCGUGAGUGAAGAAGGCCUUCGGGUUGUAAAGCUCUUUCGGCCGGGAAGAAAUCGUGUUCUCUAACAUAGGACAUGGAUGACGGUACCGGACUAAGAAGCACCGGCUAACUACGUG
rnacentral:rRNA from 1 species